AAGGAUGUAGUUCAAUGGUAAGAACACUUGCUUACCAUGCACAAGGCCCUGGGUUUGACCUAGCAUUGUAA
rnacentral:tRNA from 1 species